AACGCUGGCGGCGUGCCUAAUACAUGCAAGUCGAAUGGUAGUAGCAAUACAAACCAUGGCGAACGGGUGAGUAACACGUAGGCAACCUGACGUUUAAGACGAGGAUAACCGUUGGAAACGACGGAUAAUACUGGAUAGGACAUCAGAAAGGGCAUCCUUAGAUGUUUAAAGGUUAUUAUGCCACUUAGAGAGGGGCCUGCGGCGCAUUAGCUAGUUGGUGAGAUAACAGCCCACCAAGGCGAUGAUGCGUAGCCGGACUGAGAGGUUGAACGGCCACAAUGGAACUGAGAACGGUCCAUACUCCUACGGGAGGCAGCAGUAGGGAAUUUUCGGCAAUGGGCGCAAGCCUGACCGAGCAACGCCGCGUGAACGAAGAAGUUAUUCGUAAUGUAAAGUUCUUUUAUCUGGGAAGAAAAACAAAUUGACGGUACCAGAUGAAUAAGCUCCGGCUAACUACGUGCCAGCCGCAGC
rnacentral:rRNA from 1 species